CGGAAGUGCCUUGCUGAUUGUGCGUGCUGGAAGCGUGAAGAACUCCCGUCAUCGGAGCUCACAAGGCACUUCUUCAUUUUCCCAAACGUCAUCCACAGGCAUCAGCCGGUGGAUCGAG
rfam:Streptomyces sp. CB01580 scaffold31, whole genome shotgun sequence.